AUCUACACUAUUAAAAGUAUUUGGAAACUAAAUUUCAUAAUUUUUCGAUAUCAUUACCUAUCAAACAAGUAGUCUAAAAUUGAACGGCUGAAAAUAAAAAUCUCAUAAAAAAUGAUGAUAAAAGAUUUAAAUUCAAUAUCAGAUAUACUCAUCUUACUCUAAAUACUGAAAAGAAUUUUCUAUAAAAUUUUCAUCGGAUUUGGAUUGUUUUACACCGUUAAACUCACAAACACACCACAUCGGCCCUUAAAAUUGUCAAUUUUGAGAUCUUUUGAUCACUAGUCAAAUGAUGUCGAAAAAAUCUGAAAUUUAGUUUUCAAAUGCUUUCAAUAGUAUAGAUCAAGUAUAACGGAGCCGAUCGUCGAUUUGGAAGCCGCAUCAUUGAAAAUAACUUGGUAGCACGGAAGCCUCUGUACUACCAAUAGUAUAGCAGCCGGACUCUAUAUAUAUAUAUAGUGUAGAGCUACUAUGCUAUCGGGAGCAUAGAGCAUUCGAUGCUUCAGAUAUUUUGAUCCUUGGAUCAAGAAUUAUACGGUUGGGAUAAUUACGGUCCCCCCAGGGUUGAGCGGUACCCCUAAGGUUGAGUGGUUCCCACAAGGUAAUAAUAUUAUUCCAAAAGUUAAAAAUGAUUAAAGAGGAUCUAAGGGCCAAAAAAUUGGAAGUGUCAGAUCUUUUAUAUUCCGAUAGCAUAGUAGCUCUACUCUCUCUCUCUCUCUCUCUCUAUAUAUAUGAGUACAUAUCCUAUGCUUUUGAAAGUACGUACGCAGAUCUUUGUGCUUGUAAGUUGUUUUCGAUGAUAAAACAUCCAAUUUGACGAUCGGCUCUUUUAGACAUGAUCUAAAGUUAUAAAAAUUAUUUAGAAAUCAAAUUUCAUAAUUUUUCGACAUCAUUUACCAUGUGUCAAUGGGUCUAAAAAAUGACUAUUUUAAUGGCCGACGUGGCACGUUUGUAAUUCAACAGUAUAGAAUAAUUCAAAUUAUAUGAAACUUUAAUAAAAAAAUUCUACUUAAUAUCAAGAGAAAGAUCAAUACUUCUGAUUCAAAAUUUGAGUCUUUUAUCACUGUUUUUGUGAGAUUUUUAUUUCCAGCCAUUCAUAUUGAGACCACUCGUUCAUUAUGCAAGCAAAGUCAAAAAAUUAUAAAAUUUUAUUUUUAAAUAGUUCUAAUAGUGUAGAUCAUGUCAAUGGAACCGAUCAUCAAAUUGGAUAUCCUAUCGUUGAAAACAACUUAUAAGCACGGAAGUUUUCAUACUUUCGAAAGUGUUGGAGAGACGUGCGCGCGCGCGCGCGCACACACACACACACACACAUAUAAAUAUAUAUAGAGAGAGAGCUAGGCUAAUAUACUAUCAGUAGCACGAAGGCCUCCAUGCUACAAAGUUAUUUUCAAUGAUGCGGCUUCCAAAUCGACGAUCGGCUCCGUUAGACUUGAUCUAAACUAUUAAAAGUAUUUGGAAAUUAAAUUUCAUAAUUUUUCGGCAUCAUUUGGCUAGUGAUCAAACGAUCUCAAAAUUAAUAAUUUUAAUGUUAGAUUAGCAAAAAAAAAAAAACAGAAGGUAAAAGAAGAAGAAGAUGAAUGAAUGAAUGAAUGAAUGAAUGAAGAUAUGUUAAAUAUUUUUGUAA
rnacentral:lncRNA from 1 species